UCAAAUAAGAUUUAACUUGACUAUGUUUUACAUUAUACAUGGAGAAAUACAUACCAAAUAAGAUCAAUUGAUAAACAAUAAUUAUUAUAGUCACUUUAGGAACUAAUAAAAUCCGAAACAAGUAGUAUGUAAUAGUGAAUACAAAAUAAAAGCAUGUUUGGUUGACUCUUUUUUAAUGGUAUGGAAUGGUAUCACAACCAUUCCAUUGUUUGGUUAGGCCUUUUUACAUUGGGAUGUCAUCCCCUUUGGAUUCUCAUUCCAUUUCAAUCCUCUAAAAUCCCAUACCCUCCUACCCCUCAAGUUUCAAACUCCAUUCCAUCCCAUAUUCAAACCCUAAUUCACUCUCCUCCUUCAUAUCUUCAUCCCUAAUGCCAAGCUGAAAAGUAGAUCUUAGAAAUUUCCCUCUCUCUCCUUCAAUCUCACGCCUCCAAUCUCAGAAAUUUCGCCCCCUCACCGGUCUCAGCCGUGUCUCGCACCCAUCUACUGCCACCACCGCCAUAUUCCACCGGCCAGUCACUGCCCUUUUCUUUCUUACCUUUUUCUCCCCGGCGGCGGCUCUCUUCUCUGCAGGUGGUUUUUGUGGUGGGUUUUCAAGAGUUAGAAGAUUUCAGCACUUUCAACUAAAAUCCAGAUCAAGAAUUGGGUGUUUUUCUUGGUUCUGCUUCGAAAAAUUUAAAUUUCUAAGUAUUUUUCAAUUCUGCAGGUGUUUGUGAGGUAUACAAUCACAGAAAUGAUUCCAUCUCAAUUAGCCAUAGUAAGAAGAAGGAAGAAGAGACAAAUUGAAUUACUACUACUUUUCAUGUGGUUGUUAACAAUGUCGUCACAAUCAUGUACUUGGUGAUGUGUAUGAUGGGUGUAAUUGUUUAUGAAAUGUAUGUAUGUAUCUAUAUAUAUAUAUAUAUAUAAACUGGACAGAGAAUCCAUUCCAUA